rnacentral:lncRNA from 1 species
UCUUUCUAUCAUUUCAUUGCCCAGUUUACGAUUUCAUUUUUCAAAACUUUCCUUCUGAAACAUUUCAUUUUCUUUUUUGUUUUGAAACUUUCUCUCUUCCAUUCUUCAUCUCCUAAAGCUUUCCUAAUCUGGUUCACAUACCCAAUCGUACCUUUUUUGCUCUUCGGCAUAGUCAGGGACCUCCAUUUCCAGGUAUAUCUCCUUUUUCCUUCUUAGAGUUUCUGUUGCAAGAAUAUGUGCAAGAUUAUUUGCAGUUCUUGGUGUAUGUUGGAAUCUGAUAUUAUUGGAGCCACUUAUUUUCUGUUGGAUAUCAUAAAUAUAUGCCCCUACCAGUGAUCGAUCUUGACCCUUUAUGUUGCAUUUCUUUAUUAUUGCGAAGGAAUCUCCUUCAAAGAUGAUUGACUGCCAUCCAUUUUCGACUCCUAUUUGAACUGCUUUCCAACACGCUAUUGCUUCAGCAGCAAAUGCAGAGGUAAUGUCAUUGUGGAUCUCUGAACAGGAUAAAAGAACUUUUCCUUCCGCAUCUCUGGCCAUAAUACCUGAAGCUGAACGGUUCUGACUCUCAUUGUAUGCACUGUCGAAGUUAAUCUUGAUGAACUCACAAUGUGGGUGCCUCCAUCUUUUGUUUUCUGUUAUUAUUACCGAUUUUCUUUUUUCGAAACCAGUAAGCUCAGUAAUGUAGUUACUGAUGAAGUUUGCAAUUUCUUUUCCGUUACUGACUUUUUCCUCGUGUAUUCUUCUGUUUCGAUCUCCCCAUAUGGCCCAAAGUGCGUAGCAGAAAAGGCGACCUUGACAAGGGGUGAGCUGUUCAAACACCCAGGUAAGCCACUGUACGAAGUCCAUGCUCUGGUUCAUUAUAAUAUUCUGAAGUGAUAGUUGUAAUAGGCCCAUUUGCCCGGCCCGUAAACCAAAUCAAAAUAUAAACAAAAUAAAAAUUAAUAACAGUCCAGAAAUAGUCCAUAUACCUAGGCCCAAAUUGUUUUUAACCCACUAGCCUAUCCCAAUUUCCUCAAUCCAGUUAGCCUAACACUUAACCCGGACCCAAGGCAUAACGCAGCCCAAAACAAAAAUCAGAAGCAAGAAACACUAGAAAACCCUGGGCGCUGCAUGACUGCACAGCCAGCACACUCCCCUCUCGUGCGUGUGCCACCACACCUUCGAGCCGCUCCUCACACGCGCCUCUGUACGAUCAUGUACCUACAAAUGACAAAAGAAAUAAGCAACAAAACAGAGAAAAGGGGCAACAGAGGGGAUGGGGAGAGGAUUUUUCUUUUUAUUUUCUUUUUUUUUUUUAUUUUCUUUGUAAUGCUGGCCAUAAAAAAGGGCCAUUCGAAUAUUGUAAAGGACCACGCAUUCAGAAUAGAAAAAAAGG